GACGAACGCUGGCGGCGUGCUUAACACAUGCAAGUCGAACGGUGAAGCUCCAGAUUGCUGGCGUGGAUCAGUGGCGAACGGGUGAGUAACACGUGAGCAACCUUCCCCUGACUCUGGAAUAAGCGCUGGAAACGGCGUCUACUACUGGAUACGAGAAGGGUCCGCAUGGGCACUUUCUGGAAAGUUUUUCGGUUGGGGAUGGGCUCGCGGCCUAUCAGCUUGUUGGUGAGGUAAUGGCUCACCAAGGCGACGACGGGUAGCCGGCCUGAGUGGGCGACCGGCCACACUGGAGCUGAGACACGGCCCAGACUCCUACGGGAGGCAGCAGUGGGGAAUAUUGCACAAUGGGCGAAAGCCUGAUGCAGCGACGCCGCGUGAGGGAUGACGGCCUUCGUGUUGUAAACCUCUUUCAGCAGGGAAGAAGCGAAAGUGACGGUACCUGCAGAAGAAGCACCGGCUAACUACGUG
rnacentral:rRNA from 1 species